ACUUCGGUCAAUGGAAGCUUUGACUUAGUGGCGGACGGGUGAGUAACGCGUGAGGAACCUGCCUUUCAGUGGGGGACAACAGUUGGAAAUGACUGCUAAUACCGCAUAUGCCUAAGUACCACAUGGUACAAUAGGGAAAGGAGCAAUCCGCUGAUAGAUGGGCUUGCGUCUGAUUAGAUAGUUGGAGGGGUAACGGCCCACCAAGGCGACGAUCAGUAGCCGGACUGAGAGGUUGAACGGCCACAUUGGGACUGAGAUACGGCCCAGACUCC
rnacentral:rRNA from 1 species